UCCCUUGCCCACUCAGUCAGCCCCCAGUGCGGGGGGAGGCGUGGGGUGUCCAGACUCUGUCAGUAAUUAUGUCUUUUCACCCCCCCUCCUCCGCCACUAACUGAUCUAUAAUUUGGUACCCAAGUUUGAUUUUUCUCUUGCACUCUCUUUACUUCCUCUCCCUCCCCCCGCUACUCCGCGUGAAACUGGAUCAAAAAUAUCAAAGGGGAUUACACUUUAACCCAGUGCCUUCCUGCGAGCACUCCUAAGGCCGCGACAAUGUUCUCCAGCCUUGUCUAUAUGGAUUUCAAAAGCUCUGUGUCUCCAAGUAACGCUUCAGCAUCCUUUGUGAUGGGAUCUAUUGUGUGUGAGCAUCAUCGUCAGUCUCUAAGACAAGUUUUUUUUUAACUUUCAAUCUUUGCGAAGAGAUUGCUAGAUCUCAGUCCAGAGCUGCUCUGGGUGCAGAACUACUCCACUGAAGAGAUCGCUCCAUUUACAACAGCCAAGAGGAAUUUGAGUAGGAAGGAAAAUAUUGAUGAAAAUGAAAUUUUGACAAAUAUCGGAAAUGAAAUUCAGAGAAAAUUCUCAUGCUGUUUCACCCAUCAACCAACAGUGCAUUUAGUAUAAGGUUAUGAAAGAACAAUACUUUUCAUACAAGUAAGUGUCCAAAUUAUUGCUAAUAAAAAUGGAUCUGGACAAUUGUUUGAAAUGUAAAACACUAUAUUUAUAUGUGAUUGUUAUUAGAAUUACUUUUGAUCUCCUGCUGUUCUCUUCUUUAAAAGUUAGAUUUGUUAGCUUUUCCUUAGAAUGUUGUGACUUAUAUAUGUUAUAAGAGAGGGAUUGGAUGGCUCAGAGAAUUGGUAAUGGAUCCAGAGCCAUUCACUUCUGCAUCACCCCUCUAAUUUAACACAGGCUGGCAGUGACUGAAAGUUAAUCUAAUGGCUGUUUGGUAGUUUAUGUGAAAUCGAUUCGUGGUUUACACACAGUUCCAACAGGACAAGAAUCCACAUUGUAAAAAAAUCUCUGGGCCAGAUCCUUGGCUGCUGUUAAUCAUUGCAGCUCCAGUGAUUUCAAUGGAGCAAUGGUAAUUUACACCAAUAAAUGGCCGUCUAUCACUGCUGGCACUAGUUAACGUGUGUUGUCAGGCUCAAUACAGAUGACAAUGAUUCAGUGAGGAGGAAGAUUAUGGGCAGAUUCUCAGCUGGUGUAAACCAGUGUCAUACCAUUGAAGUUAAGGUAACUAUACUGAUUUACCAGCUGAGGCUCUAGCACUAAAUGCCUAUAGGUGGACAUGUCAGGUCAAGUUUGAGCCACAGUUAGAGUUGCUUGCACCACUGAUGUUGCGCUGUACCGGGUGUUUGACUAUAAAGAGAACCUUAAUAUUCAGGGCUGUCAAUGAGUGUUAACUUACAAGCAACAAAAUGUACUCAUUUAUCUUAAAAUCUUGUGGAAAAAAUCUAGGGACUAAUUCUACACCCAUUGAAGUCUGAUGUGUGUGAGAUAUUGUGGUAAAAUAUAAGUGAAAGUCCUAAGUAAGUGUUAUGAGAACUGUCCUUUUCUUGAUAUGUGUACAUUGUCCUAACAAAUACUUGAAUGUGAGUUGCAUAUGUGUGGUAAGAAGAGAAGAGGUCCCUAUGAACACAAACAAACUCUGCUCAUGAAAAGCAGCAGUAUUUUGCAGUGGUAGCCACAAAUGCUGCAAUACCACUCCUGGGGUGAACACAUAUUUAUUAAAUAACCAUUUAAUGUGAAACAAUAUUGUUACCUAGAUUUUAAGCUCUCCAAGGAAGGGGCUUUUGGUCCAGAUUUUAAAAGAUAUUUAGGUGCCUAAAGAUGCAGAUAGGCAUCUAAUGGGAUUUUCAAAGCAGGAUUGCUGCUUCACAGUUGGGGAAUAUGAUCCCUUAUUCCUUAUACUCAUAUUUGUCUUUAAAAACAACUAGCACAUAUUUGAUUAUAUAUAUAUUAUAAAUAUAUUAAAUAACAACAGGGGUUCUAAGAAGGACUAUACAAGUAAUCUAAUAAUGUGUGUACUACUGAGGACCCUUGACACAUACAUACAAAUUCUUAUGAAUGAAUAUUGUAUUGUGAUACCCUAACUAUAUGAAUUGCAGAUUGAGUCCUCUGUAAGCUAUUCUUAGUGGCGUCAUUCAAUGGAAAU